CCAGGAUGAAGGUUCAGGCUAGCAGGACCACGGAGCGAUGGAUCUGCUUCUGGUUUCUCUCCUUGGCUAGCGGAGGACCACCUCCUCCCCAGGUUGAAUGAUGGCCGUCUCCAAGUUCAUAUGCUGAAAUCGCUCAUACCUCAGACGAUGACGUUAUUUGGAGCCAGAACAUUCCCUGAGGGCACCAUCAUAUCCAGCACAGCAUAGCAGUCUUGAAAAUGUAAUUCUACAUCGGUUACCCCAAACUCCACCAGCUAUGGAAUUUUCUGGUCCACAUCAAUCAAAGGUGAAGAAAGCUGCUCCUGUAAAUUAGUGGGUGACACCAGCCUCUGAAAGCCUGUGGAUGCGGCCUGAAUAAUA